GACGAACGCUGGCGGCGUGCUUAACACAUGCAAGUCGAACGGAAAGGCCCUGCUUUUGUGGGGUGCUCGAGUGGCGAACGGGUGAGUAACACGUGAGUAACCUGCCCUUGACUUUGGGAUAACUUCAGGAAACUGGGGCUAAUACCGGAUAGGAGCUCCUGCUGCAUGGUGGGGGUUGGAAAGUUUCGGCGGUUGGGGAUGGACUCGCGGCUUAUCAGCUUGUUGGUGGGGUAGUGGCUUACCAAGGCUUUGACGGGUAGCCGGCCUGAGAGGGUGACCGGCCACAUUGGGACUGAGAUACGGCCCAGACUCCUACGGGAGGCAGCAGUGGGGAAUAUUGCACAAUGGGCGGAAGCCUGAUGCAGCAACGCCGCGUGCGGGAUGACGGCCUUCGGGUUGUAAACCGCUUUCGCCUGUGACGAAGCGUGAGUGACGGUAAUGGGUAAAGAAGCACCGGCUAACUACGUGCCAGCAGCCGCGGUGAUACGUAGGGUGCGAGCGUUGUCCGGAUUUAUUGGGCGUAAAGGGCUCGUAGGUGGUUGAUCGCGUCGGAAGUGUAAUCUUGGGGCUCAACCCUGAGCGUGCUUUCGAUACGGGUUGACUUGAGGAAGGUAGGGGAGAAUGGAAUUCCUGGUGGAGCGGUGGAAUGCGCAGAUAUCAGGAGGAACACCAGUGGCGAAGGCGGUUCUCUGGGCCUUUCCUGACGCUGAGGAGCGAAAGCGUGGGGAGCGAACAGGCUUAGAUACCCUGGUAGUCCACGCUGUAAACGGUGGGUACUAGGUGUGGGGUCCAUUCCACGGGUUCCGUGCCGUAGCUAACGCUUUAAGUACCCCGCCUGGGGAGUACGGCCGCAAGGCUAAAACUCAAAGGAAUUGACGGGGCCCCGCACAAGCGGCGGAGCAUGCGGAUUAAUUCGAUGCAACGCGUAGAACCUUACCUGGGUUUGACAUGGAUCGGGAGUGCUCAGAGAUGGGUGUGCCUCUUUUGGGGUCGGUUCACAGGUGGUGCAUGGCUGUCGUCAGCUCGUGUCGUGAGAUGUUGGGUUAAGUCCCGCAACGAGCGCAACCCUUGUUCACUGUUGCCAGCACGUUAUGGUGGGGACUCAGUGGAGACCGCCGGGGUCAACUCGGAGGAAGGUGGGGAUGACGUCAAGUCAUCAUGCCCCUUAUGUCCAGGGCUUCACGCAUGCUACAAUGGCUGGUACAGAGAGUGGCGAGCCUGUGAGGGUGAGCGAAUCUCGGAAAGCCGGUCUCAGUUCGGAUUGGGGUCUGCAACUCGACCUCAUGAAGUCGGAGUCGCUAGUAAUCGCAGAUCAGCAACGCUGCGGUGAAUACGUUCCCGGGGCUUGUACACACCGCCCGUCAAGUCAUGAAAGUUGGUAACACCCGAAGCCGGUGGCCUAACCGUUGUGGGGGAGCCGUCGAAGGUGGGACUGGUGAUUAGG
rnacentral:rRNA from 1 species